UGUUUUACAAAGGCUUAUGCACGGUUUCAACUUUUUUGAAGGGGAGUUGCAACAUCAUAAAAUUUGAAAAUUUUUGAUCCUCUAGACAACUGGACUCGGGAUGGUCUUAAUUAGAGAUGAAUGAGUUGGAGAAAUGUAUAAUCCAAGAUGGCCGCCCGUGUGUUUUCUGUUUGUAAACGUAUAGUAAGGUGCUCUUUAUUUCGUGAGAGAGACGCUCGCUUGAUCUUUAAUAAAGUGCGAAGUUUGUCUUCGAGUGAAGAGGAAUACAAUUUCCAAACGCUCACUGGCGAUUUAGAAGGUAUUGCCGUAUUUUCUAUGAACAAAGCGAGCAGCAGGAAUGCCAUAAGCAGAGAUUUCUUAAUUCAGCUUCAAAAUGCCAUGGAUGCAGUGAAGUAUGACAAAAGUCUUCGAGUAUUUAUUGUAAAAAGUGAUGUGCCAGGAACAUUUUGUGCUGGUGCUGAUCUUAAAGAGAGAGCAAAAAUGAAAAUGGAAGAUGUUGGUCGAUUUGUUACCAUGGCAAGAAAUUUGGUGACAGAGUUGUAUCAUUUACCAGUGCCAACCAUUGCAGCAAUUGAUGGUGUUGCACUUGGUGGUGGGCUUGAGUUUGCUUUGGCUUGUGAUUUGAGAAUUGCAGGUUGUUCAUCAAAAUUGGGUCUGGUUGAAACAAGACUGGCUAUCAUUCCCGGUGCUGGUGGGACUCAACAUCUUCCGAGACUUGUCGGAAUGUCCAAGGCUAAAGAGUUAAUAUUUACUGCUAAAAUUCUAAAUGGGGAAGAAUCAGAAAAGAUUGGAUUGGUAAACUACGUAGUGGAAGACAAUAAAGUUUAUGACAAAGCUGUGGAAAUUGCAUCGACAAUAUUACCCCAAGGUCCUAUUGCCUUAACAAUGGCGAAGAAUGCAAUGAACAGAGGAACGGAGGUUGACCUUACAUCUGGAUUACAAUUUGAAGAAGCAUUGUAUGCUCAGGUUAUUCCAACAAAAGAUAGACUCGAAGGAUUGCAAGCUUUCAAGGAAAAAAGAAAACCUGUUUACAAAGGGGAAUGAACAAACAAAGAAAUCCUUGAAGCAUCGUUACUUUGAAAGCCUACGAAAGAAACGUUGGACACAAGGAAGAUGAAAGACCAUUGAACUCUGAGGAAAAAGGCGAAACAGAUCUUCAUCUACAUACAACAGAGAUAAAAGGUUCUGGUUUGCAUCAACUAGCGUAAAAAUUAUUGAACAAAAAAGCCCUCUCACUUGGCAAUACUUCAGGGUCUUUCCAUGGAACCAUAAUCACUCUUUCCUCUUCGAUUCUAAUAAACAUAUGCAAUGAAAUUAUAAACACUUUGAUCGCCAUGUAUGAGUGAGAAACGUUUGCUGUACUUUGCAGUCUUUACUUCUAAAGGUUUUUUUGUCGAACUUUCUUGGCCUGAUCCAAUUGGGCUGACAUCAAUAUCAAAUGAAUUUGGAAAUUCGCUUAGAUCUCUGUAAAAUACAAGUGACUAUUUUUUAAACAAUGUGGAAAUCUUCAGAGUGCUUUUUCAAAGUAAGGAUAGUGCUAUGAAUGUGAACAAUCAUUUCAAAGGGUAAAAUUCUGAAAUUCAAACUACAUAAUCCAUAAAAUAAAACGCAAAUUCAAAAAUAACAAAGGCUUUUCCGAAGAAAGUAAAAUCAUGUUUUGUAUAUAUUUAUCAAAAGGGCAACAAAAUCUGAGCUUCAUA